UUCCAGUUAAUGCAUAUGAAGUAUUACCAUCAACUGAGGUAGCUUUUGGAGCAAAGAAGCUAAAAUUGGACCGUUUAUAUGAUACUCAUAUCGACCUUUUCAGUUUUUGAGGUUGAAAGAAGCAGUUGACAGUUUACAGUUGAAGACAUUU